rnacentral:rRNA from 1 species
GAUGAACGCUGGCGGCGUGCCUAGUACAUGCAAGUCGAGCGAAUGGAUUAAGAGCUUGCUCUUAUGAAGUUAGCGGCGGACGGGUGAGUAACACGUGGGUAACCUGCCCAUAAGCCUGGGAUAACUCCGGGAAACCGGGGCUAAUACCGGAUAACAUUUUGAACCGCAUGGUUCGAACUUGAGAGGCGGCUUCGGCUGUCACUUAUGGAUGGACCCGCGUCGCAUUAGCUAGUUGGUGACGUAACGGCUCACCAAGGCAACGAUGCGUAGCCGACCUGAUAGGGUGAUCGGCCACACUGGGACUGAGACACGGCCCAGACUCCUACGGGAGGCAGCAGUAGGGAAUCUUCCGCAAUGGACGAAAGUCUGACGGAGCAACGCCGCGUGAGUGAUGAAGGCUUUCGGGUCGUAAAACUCUGUUGUUAGGGAAGAACAAGUGCUAGUUGAAUAAGCUGGCACCUUGACGGUGCCUAACCAGAAAGCCACGGCUAACUACGUGCCAACAGCCGCAGUAA